GUUAAUCACUUGCUAAAUGUGGCUAAACAUGUCCAUACACUAGAACAAGUCAAACAAGAAUAUGCACCAGCAGGAUGCUGAAAAUUUGCUGGUAGUCCGUUUCAGCCGAGAGGUGCAGCAAAAUCAGUAGAAUAGGUGUACUUAGCUAUUCGUCCGAGUUAGGCUUGGAUUCAAAGAACUUGGAUACAGCUUCAUAAAGAUUCUCUUCCUCGAAUGGUUUUGAGACGUAACCAUCCAUCCCACACUUGAGGCAUUUCUCUAAUGUGGCAUGAAUAACAUCAGCAGUCAUGGCCAAUAUCGGCAUGUGCCACCUGCGCCUCUUUGUACCUCCAUCACAGUUCGACACUCCAUUCUGUUGUUCAUUUGCAAUGCUCUCUAGUUCCCUAAUUCGACGUGUAGCCUCAAACCCAUCCAUUUCUGG
rnacentral:misc_RNA from 1 species